AUUCUUUGUAAUGACAUUUAUCAGUCUCCUUUUCUGCUUCCCCACAAAACCAUAGUCAAAAUUUUGACAUUCAGGAAAAUUUUGGCUUGGAGAAAGUCUGGGAAAUUCAGAGAACCCAUUGCAUGCAAGUUCAGAAAUAAUUUAAAUCAUUGAAAAUUAGGAAACAAUCUAACAAAUUAAAUAAUGCCAGGUUACCAACAUACUCUUUUUUUCAGAAGAAAU
rnacentral:lncRNA from 1 species